UAGCUCAGUUGGUAGAGCACUUGCCUAGCAUGCAUAAGGCCCUGGGUUAGAUCCCCAG
rnacentral:tRNA from 1 species